CGAAGCCGCAGAAGCAAGAAAGCCAGCAGCUUGGACGAAGCCAAGUAGUACCACAACACCAGCAACUUGGACGAAGCAAGUACCUUCCUUUCUGUCCCUCUCUUCCCAGGUAAUCAAGCAAGAAAGAAGAAAUUUAAAAGGAAAACCUCGUGCGCUUCUUUCUCAAACUCCCCGGGACCUUGAAGGAUUCAGCCAGUCCAUGGUCAGCGGCUUCAGAGAAGAGAAUCGUGACCAGUAGCGGCAGAGGUAGAUAGGAGAGAGAAAAGAAGCAAGAAGGAAGAGGCCGGCGAUGGGCAGCGAGGUGAAGCCCGGGAGGGGCCUCAAGAGCUGGGCGCAGAGGCACCUCAACGCCGGCUUCGCCGCCGGCUUCCUCCUCGUGCUCCUCACCUACCUCAUCUUCUCGCAGCAGUUCGCCAUCAGCGCCCCCAACGCUGUCACUAGAAAAUCGGCACGGGCUGCGGAUAAGCAGGUGAUCAAAGCUCCCGGUGGAACAGUGAAUGAGGACGAUAGGAUCGAAGUCAACAUGUUGGAAAGAGUGAACCGUGUUUCUAAUGACCGGCUAUACAAAGAGGGCGAGAGGAAAAGAGAGCAGGAAUGGCAGCCAAAAGAGACCGAGGUGCCAGUGCCACACAAGGAAACGUCCGGUGCCGUCCCAACCGAGUCCCCGAAAAGAGACGCGACAGACGCCAAACCGUCCGAGACGGGCAAGGUGGUGUGCAGCAAAAACGGCCCCUACUCCGACACCUGCGACGUCGACGGCGACGUGCGCACCAACGGCACAGCGUUGUCAGUGACCCUCGUCCCGGCAAGCUGGUCGGAGCGCCACGAGUGGAAGAUCCGGCCGUACACGCGCAGGUUCAUGACCGGUAUCCAGGAGGUCACCGUGACGCAGCUCGGGUCCCCGCAGGAGGACGCGCCGCAGUGCACGAUCACCCACGACGUGCCGGCCGUCCUGUUCGCGCUCGGCGGGCUGACGGGCAACUACUGGCAUGACUUCAGCGACGUGCUGGUGCCACUGUUCGUGGCGUCGCGGCGGUACGGCGGCGAGCUCCAGUUCCUGGUCAGCAACAUCCAGCCGUGGUGGCUGGGCAAGUAUGAAGCCAUCGUGCGGCGGCUGUCCAAGUACGACGCCGUGGACCUGGACCGCGACAAGCAGGUGCGGUGCUUCCGGCACGUCACUGUGGGGCUGCGCAUGCACAAGGAGCUCAGCAUCGUGCCGGAGUGGGCACCGGGUGGCCACCGCCUCUCCAUGGCCGACUUCACCCGGUUCCUGCGCGAGACGUACGCGCUCCCGCGCGAGGCGCCGUUGAGCCUCCGGCAGUUCCCGGACAAGAAGCCGCGGCUGCUGCUGAUCCACCGCGCGCACUACCGGCGGUUCGUGAACGUGCCGGAGAUCAUGCAGGCAGCAGCGUCGGCUGGAUUCGAGGUGGCGGUGGCGAACCCGAGGGGCGACGCGCCCGUGGACGAGAUAGCGCGGCAGGUGAACUCGUACGACGUGCUGCUGGGCGUCCACGGGGCUGGGCUGACGAACGCGCUGUUCCUGCCGGCUGGCGCGGUGGUGAUCCAGGUGGUCCCGUACGGGAAGCUGGAGGACAUGGCGAGGAAGGACUUCGGCGAGCCCGUGGCGGACAUGGGGCUGAGGUACCUCGAGUACAGCGUGGCCGCGGAGGAGAGCACGCUGUUGGAGAUGCUGGGGCCGGAGCACCCGGUGAUCAAGGACCCGGAGUCCGUGCACCGCAGCGGCUGGGACAAGGUUGCCGAGUUCUACCUCGGCAAGCAGGACGUGCGCAUCGACAUCAACCGGUUCGCGCCCACGCUCGCGCAGGCGCUCGACCACCUCCGGCAUCAGUGAGGCCGGCCCGGGGACGUGUCGAUGCCAUUGGCCAAAGAGAACCAUACAGAUCACAGAACAAGCAUUUCCAUGUCUACAUUUGAUGAUAGUCUCCAGUGAUGCGCCAAAUUACCCUCGAGUGCUCCCUCCCCGCGGCUGCAUACCCAAGGCGGUGAGGCGCGCCCCGCUGCCCUCUCCGGCGCGGCUGUGCCCUUCCCGCCGUUCGGCGGCGUUGCGUGGCGGCGUGGCGCGUUGCCUCUGCCUGGUCAGGAGUUGUGGGACUCGGAACAGGGCGAGCGAGGAGCGGCGUCAGAGUUAGAUCGGGAUUGGAUUGAAGCGGGUAGGAUUGGGCCAAUUUCGUGGGCUACAUUGCUGAGUUGACGAAGACAAGGGUGGGAGUGGGCUGCUGAGCGCUUCCUCUCGAAUUUUUAUAUUUAUAGUUCUAUAUUUUUAUUUUCAUAAUUUGUAAAUAUAUGUGUCCUUUUUAAAAUUUGCAAAUCUGUAAUCAUGUCGUCCAACGAUGGGCGACAAACUUGUCACCUCC